rnacentral:rRNA from 1 species
AUGAGGCUUUUGAGAAGGUGCCUGACGGGCUGGAAUCUCAAUGUUGAAGGGAUGUAUAAGAAAAGUAGAAAUAGCUUAAUUACUCAGCUAGAUGAUAUUGAUAAAAGAUGUGAGCAAACUGGGUUCUCGGUUGCUGACUAUGAGUUAAGAAAUGUUUUACAGUAUAACUUGAAUAAAUUGCUUCGAGAGGGAGAGAUUAAGUGGUACCAACGCUCGAAAGAGAGGGAUAUUAGAGAAGGCGAUAAUAUCACUAGGUAUCUUAUGAUCAAAGCUAGCGGUAGGAAGCGUAAGAGCAAAAUUUUCAGAUUUGUUCAGGAGGAAGGGAUUAUUCAAGGAGAUGAUAAGCUGCUUGAUUAUGCCACUAAUUUUUACAAAAAAUUGUUUGGUCAUGUAGACCUU